rnacentral:ncRNA from 1 species
AGGUUCCCCUUCGCGGCCAGCUUCUUAGAGGGACUAUGGCCAUUUAGGCCAUGGAAGUUUGAGGCAAUAACAGGUCUGUGAUGCCCUUAGAUGUUCUGGGCUGCACGCACGCUACACUGAUGCAGUCAACGAGUUUUUCUCCCUGGUUCGAGAGGAUCGGGAAAUCUUCUCAAAUUGCAUCGUGAUGGGGAUAUACCAUUGCAAUUAUUGGUCUUCAACGAGGAAUUCCUAGUAAGCGCGUGUCAUCAGCUCGUGUUGACUACAUCCCUGCCCUUUCUACACACCGCCCGUCACUCCUACUGAUUGAAUGAUACGGUGAAGUGUUCAGAUCGUGUCAACGAGGGUGGUUUUCCGUCGACGAUGUCGUGAGAAGUUCAUUGAACCUUAUCAUUUAGAGGAAGGAGAAGUCGUAACAAGGUUACCGUAGGUGAACCUGCGGUAGGAUCAUUG